rnacentral:lncRNA from 1 species
AUUUGCCCCGGGACGAGCUAGAUUCGGAGAUGGGCGAGAAGUACUCAUCUUUGAGUACUCAGACGUGGCGAUCGGUUAUCCCGAUCGGUUGCAGAACCGAUCGGAGGCCAUUAGUACGCAAUCCGUGUUUUGCCGCUCGGUUAUCCCGAUCGGUUGCACAACCGAUCGGGGCUCUAUUUCCGCCUCUUCUUGUGCUUCUUUAAAUCCUUUUAGCUUCCUUUGAAGCUUGAGAAUUGUAGAACACUUUUGGGCGCCUUUUGACAACACCAAGUCAGCCACUUAGCUCUUAAAGCUAAUCCUUCCUCAUUAUCCCUUCAUAGAACAACUUCAAGACUAGACUUUUAAGGCUUCUUUCAUGACCGCUUCUUAUGCUUCAAGGGCUGCUCCAAAUCGCCAUUUCUUCUUGGAAAACUCAUCAAGAAGAGAUGGAAGGCAUAAGCCUGAGAAUUAAUGACAAAAAAAUAAAGUGUAUGUUACCAAGAAUAAGAGAUUAAGUAACCAAGUAUAAGAGUAUAAAGAGUAUGGACUCAAGAGUGCCAAUGGACAAAGUUCUUAGCUUUGUUUUCUUGAGGUGAGAUUGGGAGAAUGUGGGGUGUGUGAGCAGCCUUGUGAACUCCAAAACGAGCAGUCUUUGUUAUCUACUUCGUGGGCUUCAAGAUCUGCUCCAAACUGCCUUGAUAACUCCAAAAUGAGCAGUCUUCAUGAUCUACUUCAAGAGCUUCAAGAACAGCUUCAAAUCGCCAUCUUCUUGAUGGCUUCUUUUUCUUCAUCCCUUGAGAGAUCUUCAUUGGCGUGAAUUGA